GCCCCGCCUCUUCCCUGCCGCUUCGCGUUUCGGCGAAAUUUGUCCCUCGCCGGCGUUCGGAGCGGGAGGCCGGGAGGGAGGGGGAAGCAAGAGCACUCCCAGCGGCCCCCGCAGCCAUGGCGGCCCGCCGCUUCGCGUUUUGGUGAAGUUUGUCCAUCGCCGGCGUCCGAAGAGGAGGGAGGAGCCCUCCCAGCAGCCUCCGCGGCCCCGCCGCUUCGCGUUCUGGUCAAGUUUGUCCGUCGCCGGCGUCCGGAGGCGUCGUCCGGGGUGGGAGAGGAAGACGGAGCCGUCCCGGCAGCCUCCGCGGCCCCGCCGCUUCGCGUUCUGGUGAAGUUUGUCCGUCGCCGGCGCCCGGAGGUGGCGGCCGGAGAGGAGGGAGGAACACUCCCGGCAGCCUCCGUGGCCGCGCCGCUUCGCGUUCUGGUGAAGUUUGUCCGUCGCCGGCGCCCGGAGGCGGCGCCAGGAGUGGGCGAGGAGGACGGAGCCGUCCCGGCAGCCCCCGCGGCCAUGGCGGCGGCGCUGGGCUUGCUGAGGCGGCCGUGGGCCCUGCGCCCCCCGCGUCCGGGGCCUCCGGCCCGCCGCCUCUGCGCCCCCCGACCCUCCUCCGCGGCCCCGCCCCACGGUCAGUGCCCCCCGUCGCCGCCGGGCCGCUCGCCACAACCCGCCUCGGGGCCCUCACCGCGCCGCCCCCGCUUAGCGCUCCGCUCGGGACCGGCCUCUUCGCUCAGCGCUGCCCUGGGGGCAGAGCGGGGAACCGAGCCUAGGGGAGAAGAAUGGUGGCGUCUUGGAAGCGCUCGCUGUGGGCUAAGCACUGUACUAAGCGCUGCGGGGAGAGGGCGGGUAAACGGGUUGGGCCCCGGGGGGGCUCCCGGGCUUCGCCUCCCCCCGUUUGACAGAGGAGGGAGCGGAGACACCGUGCGAAACUUGGAGGUUCAGCUCGUAGCGGGGCUGGGAGUCAGCAGGUCCUGGGUUCUGAUCCUGCACCGUGCAUUCCCUCAGUAG
rnacentral:lncRNA from 1 species